AUUUUUUUUUUUUUUGAGUCUUACUAUGUUUCCUGGUUUUGAACCCUAACAAUUUUUAACAUUUUAUUUUGAAAUAAUUUUAGAGGAGUAGAAAGAAUCCCUGUAUACUCUGCCUACAUUCCCCAAAUGUGAACAUUUUCAUAUUUGCUAAUUAUUUUUACCUAUAUGUACAGACAUACUUUGAACCAUAAGUUACAGACAUGAUGCCUCUUUAUUCCUUAACACUUCUGUGUUUUUCCUUAAACAUAAGGACAUUUUCUUAUAUAAUUACAGUACAUUUCUCAAAAUCAAGCAAUUAUCCCGAUAUAACACUAUUCUUUAGUCCCAAUAAUAUCCUCUAACACUGUUUUGUAAAACCUGGUAAGCAAAACAAACAGCCCCCUUCUCUAAUGGCAUCUGAAAUGGAACAACUGCAAUUCUCCAUUUUUAAUGGUUAGGUGAAGUAAAUCUUUGCCCUGGAAAUGUUUGCUUACAGCUUCCAGUCUGCUAAACAUUUUAUUUCCCUAUCAUUCUGAACAUAGACCCUAAGUCUUGUACGUCCAAGCAGCACAGAUACAUGGCUAGCAUUUUCUACGUUUAGAAAAGCAAAAUUUACCUUCAAAUCGUUCUGAAGGCGUUGCGUUGUCUGCUUGAGGUACCACUCCAUGUUCUUUUUUGAACUUAUCAAAUGCCUUUUUAUUUAUGUCAUCUUUUUGAUGAGGGUCUGAGAAAUGAAAAAAAUUUAAUACUUAACAGAUCAUCAUUUAAUCUUUCAUUAAAUUGCAUAAGUUAUUUUAAAAAUAGGUGUUUAAAGUAACAAAUGGACUUCUCAAAACUCACCAAGUUUUUGGAGACUCUUUGCUUUGCCAAUAACAUCUUUGGCAGUUCUUUUGACUCCAGAGGAAGAAUGUAUGUUCAUGUAAUUAGCAAUAACUUCCCAUCUGAUAGGAUAUAUUAUACAAUAAUAUGAAUAGUAGUAAGGAAAAACAAAAUGAAACGACAAAAACCAUUAGAUUUUUACUGCAGAAAGGUUAUAGUAUGUACAGAAUGAGCUCAGAUUGGUGGUCUAAUUAUGCUGCUACUAUAAAUUCCUGUUGCCUGGACUACGGUUUUUGCUUUUCAUGUGUUUAAAUCAACGAUAAUCUUGGUUUUAAGUCCAUACAUCUUACAGAUUUGGUGUACAAAUCAACAUAAAUAAAACCACUUAUUUGUGUA
rnacentral:lncRNA from 1 species